UAAAGCAAGGAUUGCAUGCAGUGGGAUAACUUAUCCCUUCAUCUAGCCACGUGGAUUGGACCGUGGGGGGCGUGAGAUGUUGGAAUCCACGUCCUUUGGAGCAAAUCCCAUGGCUAUCCACAUGCCGUGUUCUGUGGGCUGGAGCGUGCAGCCAAGUCUCUCUCUGUUUAUAUUUUUGUCUGUUAAUUUAUUUGUUAAACUUAUAAGUCAGGCAUAAAAAUAAAAUAAA
rnacentral:lncRNA from 1 species